rnacentral:tRNA from 1 species
GGGGAAGUGGCGAAAUUGGUAGACGCACCAGAUUUAGGUUCUGGCGCCUUCGGUAUGUGGGUUCGAGUCCCAUCUUCCCCACCA